UCCGUAGGCGGAUCUGUAAGUCAGUGGUGAAAUCUCACAGCUUAACUGUGAAACUGCCAUUGAUACUGUAGAUCUUGAAUUCGGUCGAAGUGGGCGGAAUAUGACAUGUAGCGGUGAAAUGCUUAGAUAUGUCAUAGAACACCGAUAGCGAAGGCAGCUCACUAGGCCUGGAUUGACGCUCAGGGACGAAAGCGUGGGGAGCAAACAGGAUUAGAUACCCGCGUA
rnacentral:rRNA from 1 species